rnacentral:rRNA from 1 species
GGGUGCCUAAUACAUGCAAGUCGAGCGGACAGAAGGGAGCUUGCUCCCGGAUGUUAGCGGCGGACGGGUGAGUAACACGUGGGUAACCUGCCUGUAAGACUGGGAUAACUCCGGGAAACCGGAGCUAAUACCGGAUAGUUCCUUGAACCGCAUGGUUCAAGGAUGAAAGACGGUUUCGGCUGUCACUUACAGAUGGACCCGCGGCGCAUUAGCUAGUUGGUGAGGUAACGGCUCACCAAGGCGACGAUGCGUAGCCGACCUGAGAGGGUGAUCGGCCACACUGGGACUGAGACACGGCCCAGACUCCUACGGGAGGCAGCAGUAGGGAAUCUUCCGCAAUGGACGAAAGUCUGACGGAGCAACGCCGCGUGAGUGAUGAAGGUUUUCGGAUCGUAAAGCUCUGUUGUUAGGGAAGAACAAGUGCAAGAGUAACUGCUUGCACCUUGACGGUACCUAACCAGAAAGCCACGGCUAACUACGUGCCAGCAGCCGCGGUAAUACGUAGGUGGCAAGCGUUGUCCGGAAUUAUUGGGCGUAAAGGGCUCGCAGGCGGUUUCUUAAGUCUGAUGUGAAAGCCCCCGGCUCAACCGGGGAGGGUCAUUGGAAACUGGGAAACUUGAGUGCAGAAGAGGAGAGUGGAAUUCCACGUGUAGCGGUGAAAUGCGUAGAGAUGUGGAGGAACACCAGUGGCGAAGGCGACUCUCUGGUCUGUAACUGACGCUGAGGAGC